CCUACGGGGGGCUGCAGUGAGGAAUAUUGGUCAAUGGGCGCGAGCCUGAACCAGCCAAGUCGCGUGAGGGAAGACGGUCCUAUGGAUUGUAAACCCCUUUUGUCGGGGAGCAAAAGACGCCACGCGUGGCGUUCCGAGAGUACCCGAAGAAAAAGCAUCGGCUAACUCCGUGCCAGCAGCCGCGGUAAUACGGAGGAUGCGAGCGUUAUCCGGAUUUAUGGUGGUAAAGGGGGGUGCAGGCGGAAGAUCAAGUCAGCGGUAAAAUUAAGGGGCUAAACAUCUUCGAGCCGUUGACACUGGUUUUCUUGAGUGAAUGAGAAGUAUGUGGAAUGCGAGGUGUAGCGGUGAAAUGCAUAGAUAUCACGCAGAACUCCGAUUGCGAAGGCAGCAUACCGGCGCUCAACUGACGCUCAUGCACGAAAGUGUGGGUAGCGAACAGGAUUAGAUACCCGGGUAGUC
rnacentral:rRNA from 1 species